rnacentral:rRNA from 1 species
UGGGGAAUAUUGCACAAUGGGGGAAACCCUGAUGCAGCGACGCCGCGUGAGCGAAGAAGGCUUUCGAGUCGUAAAGCUCUGUCCUAUGAGAAGAUAAUGACGGUAUCAUAGGAGGAAGCCCUGGCUAAAUACGUGCCAGCAGCCGCGGUAAUACGUAUGGGGCGAGCGUUGUCCGGAAUUAUUGGGCGUAAAGGGUACGUAGGUGGUUUUUUAAGUCAGGUGUCAAAGCGUGGAGCUUAACUCCAUUAAGCACUUGAAACUGAAAGACUUGAGUGAAGGAGAGGAAAGUGGAAUUCCUAGUGUAGCGGUGAAAUGCGUAGAUAUUAGGAGGAACACCGGUGGCGAAAGCGGCUUUUUGGCCUGCAACUGACACUGAGGCGCGAAAGCGUGGGGAGCAAACAGG